AUUUGCCAUUUGUUGGACAAAGACCCAUAUUUUGAGUGUAGAUGCAAACCUGGAUACUCUGGGACGGAUUGUAGAGAUUCAUCCAUCACCACAACGUCAGCGCCUACAGUUACGACAACGCCAGUCAAGACAACAACAAACCCACCGACGCCACAAACUACGACUCUUCCAAAAACAACAACGAAAAGCAACCCUGUAUACCAGAGUUGCAACAAAUACUCAGUUGUGAGUGAUUUGUCACAUGGUCAGCCCGUAGCCAAUGAUAACGCUCCAAAUUGUUCAUCC